UAAUGUUUUUAAAGAAAAUGAGAAAAUAAAGUGAAAAAAAAAGAGAAAAAAAGGUACAGACCUUUGUGAAGACCAUAAAAUUGUGCUUUAGAAAAACAUGAACUUACAGACAAAAUAAUUAAAAAUAUAUUAUUUGGACUGUGAGAAAAAAUAGGAAAGCUAAAGCAUGUUUGUUUCGAUUUUGGGGUUGUAACUUUUUUAGUGGCUUUAAAAAUUUCUUACAGCCCAACCAAUCAAAUGUAAUAAA
rnacentral:sRNA from 1 species